rnacentral:rRNA from 1 species
UACGGAGGGUGCGAGCGUUGUCCGGAAUCAUUGGGCGUAAAGGGCGCGUAGGUGGCCUGCUAAGCGUGCGGUGAAAGCUCGGGGCUCAACCCCGAGUCGGCCGUGCGAACUGGUGGGCUUGAGCACUGUAGAGGCAGGCGGAAUUCCGGGUGUAGCGGUGGAAUGCGUAGAGAUCCGGAAGAACACCGGUGGCGAAAGCGGCUUCCUGGUCUAAUACUGACACUGAGGUGCGAAAGCGUGGGGAGCAAACAGG